rnacentral:lncRNA from 1 species
UUUUUAAAAAAUGUCUUAAUUUUAGAUUAAUAAUUUUAGAGUUUUAAAAAAAUCCACUUGAAGACUCUUCAAGUUUUUGAGAGUAUGGCUAUAGAGGGUAAGAACUGCCUUAGUGGUUCUUAUACUUAUCCUCCAAUUGAUCUAUUACACCUUAGUUUCGGUCUCUUCUUGAAGUGACCAAUAUAUGCAUCAAAAUGCAUACUCGCAAUUAUCUCUUUUCCAAUCUCUCUUCUAAUUUCAAAAUCCUCUACUCUAAUUUCUUUUUCUUGUUUUAUUUUAUUUUAUUUUAUUUUUUCUUCUUCUAACAAGUUACUUCUAAUGUUCUAGUUACUAAAUCCUAGCUUGCACUCUAUCUCCACUCUCCAAAUGUUAAAGUAGAUCUCUUAGAUUUUUUUUAAAUUCUAUUUUUCUUAAUCAAAAU